rnacentral:rRNA from 1 species
UACGGAGGAUCCAAGCGUUAUCCGGAUUUAUUGGGUUUAAAGGGUGCGUAGGCGGAAUUGUAAGUCAGUGGUGAAAGCCCUUCGCUUAACGAAGGAACUGCCAUUGAUACUGCAAAUCUUGAGUACAUUUGAUGAGGGCGGAAUGUGUCAUGUAGCGGUGAAAUGCAUAGAUAUGAUCCGGAACACCGAUUGCGUAGGCAGCCCACUAAGCAACGAUUGACGCUGAGGCACGAAAGCGUGGGGAUCAAACAGG